AAAACGACUCUCGGCAACGGAUAUCUCGGCUCUCGCAUCGAUGAAGAACGUAGCGAAAUGCGAUACUUGGUGUGAAUUGCAGAAUCCCGUGAACCAUCGAGUCUUUGAACGCAAGUUGCGCCCGAAGCCGCCAGGCCGAGGGCACGCCUGCCUGGGCGUCACA
rnacentral:rRNA from 3 species